AACUUAUGACCCAGUGAACCUGGUCCAACCUCUAGUAGGUUGCGUACUGGUGCUUCACGGGUCAUUCUUCUGGAGAGCAUUACCUCCCUUGAUUGGGCGGGUGGUGUAAUUCAGAUCAUUUACUGUGAGUAAAUCAAAGUGUUCAAAGCAGGCUUAAUGCUUGUAUGGUUCAGCAUGGAAUAAUAAGAUAAGACUUCGGUUUUGUUUUGUUGGCUAGACGAACCAAAGUAAUGAUUGAAAGGGAUAGUUGGGGGUGCUAGUAUUCAGUGGUCAGCGGUGAAAUGCGAGGACCCAUUGAAGACUAACUUAUGCGAAAGCAUU
rnacentral:rRNA from 1 species